CAGGACGAACGCUGGCGGCGUGCCUAACACAUGCAAGUCGAGCGAGGAGAUCCUUCGGGAUGAUCCUAGCGGCGGACGGGUGAGUAACACGUGGGCAACCUGCCUCAUAGAGAGGAAUAGCCUUCCGAAAGGGAGAUUAAUACCUCAUAACAUUGCAGUUUCGCAUGGAACAGCAAUUAAAGGAGUAAUCCGCUAUGAGAUGGGCCCGCGGCGCAUUAGCUAGUUGGUGAGGUAACGGCUCACCAAGGCGACGAUGCGUAGCCGACCUGAGAGGGUGAUCGGCCACAUUGGGACUGAGACACGGCCCAGACUCCUACGGGAGGCAGCAGUGGGGAAUAUUGCACAAUGGGGGAAACCCUGAUGCAAGCAACGCCGCGUGAGUGAUGACGGCCUUCGGGUUGUAAAGCUCUGUCUUCAGGGACGAUAAUGACGGUACCUGAGGAGGAAGCCACGGCUAACUACGUGCCAGCAGCGGC
rnacentral:rRNA from 1 species